GACGAACGCUGGCGGCGUGCUUAACACAUGCAAGUCGAACGGAAAGGCCCUGCUUUUGUGGGGUGCUUGAGUGGCGAACGGGUGAGUAACGCGUGAGUAACCUGCCCUUGACUUUGGGAUAACUUCAGGAAACUGGGGCUAAUACCGGAUAGGAGCUCCUGCUGCAUGGUGGGGGUUGGAAAGUUUCGGCGGUUGGGGAUGGACUCGCGGCUUAUCAGCUUGUUGGUGGGGUAGUGGCUUACCAAGGCUUUGACGGGUAGCCGGCCUGAGAGGGUGACCGGCCACAUUGGGACUGAGAUACGGCCCAGACUCCUACGGGAGGCAGCAGUGGGGAAUAUUGCACAAUGGGCGGAAGCCUGAUGCAGCAACGCCGCGUGCGGGAUGACGGCCUUCGGGUUGUAAACCGCUUUCGCCUGUGACGAAGCGUGAGUGACGGUAAUGGGUAAAGAAGCACCGGCUAACUACGUG
rnacentral:rRNA from 1 species